ACUCCUAGAAGAAACUGUAAAGGAAAAAGUCCCUUGACAUUGGUCUUGGGAAUGAUUUUUUUUGACGUGGCACCAAAAUCACAAGCCACAAAGGCAAAAAUCAACAGGAUGACACCAAACUAAAAAUCUUCUAGACAGCAAAAGAAACAAUCAACAAAAUGAAAAGGCAAGCUACGGAACAGGAGAAAAUAUUUCCAAACCGAAAUGUGUAAGGAACUCCUAUGAACUUGAUGGCCAAAAAGGAAAACAUCUGAUUAAAAAACGGGCAGAGGACUCAGACAUUUUUCCAAAGAAGACAUACAACGGGCCAAUAAGUACAAGAAAGGGUGUUUCAACAUCACCCAUCAUCUGGGAACUGCGAAUCAAAACUGCAUGAAGGUAUUACCUCCCACCUGUUAGAGUGGAUAUUACCAAAAACAACAACAACAAAACAAAAACAAAACAAAAAAGAGAGAGAACAAGUAUUAACGAGCAUGUGGAGAAAAGGGAGCCCUCGUGCACUGUUGGUGGGAAUGCAAACUGGUGCAGCCACUAUGGAAAACAGUAUGAAGGUUCCUCCAAAAAAUUAAAGAGAGAACCACCCCGUGAGCCAACAAUCUCACUUUUAGGUGUACAUCCAAAGGAGAUGAAAUCACUUCCUCAAACAGAUAUCUGUACCUCCACCUGCACCACAGCAUUAUUUGUAAUAGCCAAGUUAACCUCAGUGUUCAUCAAUGAACGGAUAAGAUAGAUAGAUAGAUAGACGACAGAGAGAUAAAUGGAAUAUUAUUCACCCACAAAAAAGGAAAGGAAUCCUGUCAUUUGCAACAACACGGAUGAACCCUGAGGGCCUUAUGAUAAGUGAAAUAAGCCAGUCAGAGAAAGACUAACACUAAACACUGCAUGAGCUCACUUUUAUGUGGAAUCUGGACACAUCAGACUCAGGAACAGAGAGUCAAAAAUGGUGGUUGCCAGGGACUCGAGGCGUGGGGGCAGUGGGGAGACGUCGGUCAGGGUAUAAACCUUCAGUUACAAAUGAAUACGUUUCUGACAUCUAACGGACGGCCUGGUGACUACGGUUUACAGCGCUCCAUUAUAUCCUCCAGUUGCUAUGAGAGCAGAGCUGUGGUUUACUCACCAUGGCAACAGCAACAACAAAAUGGUGACUAUGUGAGGUGAAGGAGGUGCUAACUAACCUUGCUGUGGUCAUCAUUUCCCAAUACACGUGCAGAUUAAAUCAUCACAUCAUACACCCCAAACUUACGCAAUGUCAUAUGCCGAUUCUAGGCCAUAAGGAACACCACAGAGGAGCGAGCUGAGCUUUCUUUCAGUCAACGGCCAGCAACAAUCUCCAGACAUGCGAGUGUGGGUCAGCGUUUGGAUGUUUCCAGCCCCUAGACAUCAUGGGGCAGAGACAAGCCAUCCUCACUGUACCCUCUCCCCGUUCCUGACCCUCAAAAUCCAUCCACACAAUAAAAGGGUUUCGCACCA